AUUAUCCUUCGCUAACAGAAGGAUCAUUUGUAAGUUCUUCCGGAAAUAACCGAAAACGAGGGAAGGGGUAAUAGAAUAUGUAAUGUAUUCUACGGUUCAACGUCGACACUGUGCUUACCUGUAUUUGUAAUACCGGAACUCGAACCGGUCCCAUUUAUAACCAGAAAGACAGAAGACGGUAAAUUAGAAACGAUCAAUAAUUAAAUCAGCUACUUGGCAACUUCGAGAUAACGAUUAUCUGGGAUUAUUAUCGAUAAUCGAAUCGAUGAAAUCGAAGAUAGAAAAGAAACACGUUCAGUCACCUGUUUCUGAUGGAACAACUACGCGAACAAUUGACAACUUACAAAAUAAAUUUCAAAUAAUAUCUUUUUGGGCGUAAAACAUAAUGAAAUUGGUUAUGUUUUUCAGUGAACGUUGUAUCAAAGAGCAAACGAUCGAUAAUCGAUUUUCUCUGAUCAUGCGAUUAGUUAAAACACUACUUUAAUGUUAAAUCACUCACACGAAAUAAUUCUACGGUGAACAAAGUAAUUACAGCAUCCUCCUACAGAGGACAAGGUCUGCUCUCGAUCUUAUGAAUCAUAGCGUUCGUAAAGCAUGUUCAGGUCGUUCUUUCACCGUUCGUGCAAAAAAGAGCAGCAGAGUUCAGUGAUCUGGAAAGUGUGGUUGCGACUAAUGCUUAAGGAAUCUUUGAAGAGUACCAGCCACUAUGAACACCAAAUAUUAUCUAUCCUAUCUAUAUUUACUAUAUAUGUGUACAUAUAUUAAUCAGACACUGUACCAGUUAAAAUGCGAUGGUCUAUAAAUAACGGAUACCGUAUUCGCACCUGAAAUUCUUUAGUGGAUUAUGACGUUGUAUUUGUCGACCAUGACACAACGUGUGUGCAAGUAGACGUAAUCUUCUUUAGACGGUACACGUGUAUUUAAUUCUGUCGACGCUCUGCACCUUUUGAUACCUUAGGAGUAACCUGGUUUCAUACAUAUUCAAUUAUUCUUUUUUCUAACUGUAAAUUUACAUGUUUCAAAAGCUUAAUUUAUCAUGUUUCAGCGUACAUCGAGGAAGCGUUUGCAUUCUCAGACUGUUCGAUGAAUUUUUUAAAUUCGACCACGCGUACCGGUCCGUUUCCACGUUGUUCCCUGGAUUUCUCCAAAUAUAUGGGUCAUGGAGCAUUUCCAGAGAACUGUGGAACCCGGGAGUGUCGCUUGGCCGUUACGAAAUCAGCUGUGCGCCUGUCGCUGCUUGUUGUAGGUCGUGUCAGGACUCCUCCCGACCUCCCUUCUUCUCGUUCCCUCUCAUUCCAUCUAAUGGAAGAGGUGGCAGAGAAGAGGGGAUAUUUAAAGGUCGCUUCAACUGGAGAUCAAUACGAAACCUACAUACCUACCUUCCCUAUCAGCCCAAUGGGAAUGCCCAAAAUGAUCUUCCUCUUUCAAUCGUUUCACCCCGUCAAUUGACCUCUAUCGAAAAUGUAUUCAAAUUCAAACAGCAAGACUAUACGAUUUUAUAAUUGGAAUAGAAACAUUGUUCAAUAUUAUUAGAGAAGUUCAGUAAGGAUUUAAGAGGCAUAGGAUGAUAUACAUACAACGAGCUCCAUCAUUAUCUCUGUUUAUCUUGAUGGGCGGAAGAAAGCAUUUCAAAGGAAAAGAUUGCCUCUUUGAGGGAACAGGUUUUUUUUUCAGGGUCAACUCUUUUACCAUUUUCAAGAUCGAAACACAUUACCAAUGUCAUUCAAUGGACAGACAAGUACGGAAAUGUUUAUUUGCAAUCGAUACGUUUGAAAAUCGAUCGGUUUCGAAUAACGUGUAUUGUGUUCGAGACCAGAGAAGAGCGCGUAAUUGUUGACGACGAAGAGAAUGGAAGGUUUAUGAUUUCUAAGUCUACCUGGAAAGUACAAUCGAGUAUUAAACUAUGCUGUUGAAAACAAUGUAUAUUUAAACAUUCCAUUGGUAUAAUACAGGAUGAUCAUCCGAAUAAUUAUGUAACACUUUAAGCUUGCUGGCACAAGGUGGCCAGUAAAAUUACGUCAAUGGCCGGGGGAAAUUACUUUUCCUCGCUAGAUACGUUAUUUUUAUCCCGAGAUCUGUUUUGCGGUAUUUUCUCAUCACUCUGACUUUAAGUGAAACACACAAGGUAACGAAUCGACGAAUGUUUCAAGGGAGAUCGCGCCUACCGGAGCCACCCAAGAAGAAACUGACCAGUUGAACCGUGUAAUCUCCCACAAAAAUUCCGCUUUAAAUGCCACGAUAAACUCAUUAAAUGAAUGGUUUAACCGCCCAGAGAGCUAUGAUUUUAUCGCAUGACUGACUGGCACCGAGUACAGCAAAUAUUUGUCGUCCAGUUUCACAGCAGAACACCACGUAACUGCUAUCGAUCUAGCUAUUUUUGUAGCUCAGACAACAAAACUAUAAAUCUUCUUCACGCAGCGAUGAACCGAAAAGUAAUCGUAUUCAAUCAUUGGCUAAGGGCAGUUUUCAAUGCCAAUGUCUCUUGACCGUGUUAACCGGUGUUUGGUAAUUUCGACACGCUUCUUGAACAAAAUCAGUGACAGUCAGGUUGCUUCUUUGUUACAUAAUGUUGGCCAAAGAUUCCGCUUUCGUAUACAAUUGUUUUCCGUGAAAACGAUUAACCACGCCAAGAUUAUCUUACUGGCAUUCCAAUUUGGAACACAUGCUGCUAUUUGCAUGUUUACUUAUCCAUUUUGUCACGCUUUUAUUUUUUUUUUUUUAUGAUUAAUUCAUUUAAAUGUUGUGUGUGGAAAUAUUUGUAUUUUUAUUUAUUGUUAAUAUAUUACGUAUUCUGUUGUACAUUUUUAUUAUAUCAUACUUGUGAGUUUCGAAAACGGACUAUCUGUCUUGAUAUUGACACAACUUAUCGAUCAGACGGAUUAAACUUGGCAAGGUAUAUUAAAACGAAACGAAAUUUCGUAAGAAUCGUGACUAUCAGCACGUAAAACUUUGAACAUCGCCGCAGUUCCAUAAUAGUAGGUAACAAAUACUUGUUACACUUUCAACAAAAUAAUAUAAAGAGCCUUGUUAUAUACGAUUCACGUAUCAAAUCUGUCCAUGACCUCUCAAUGAACUCAUUUGGAUCAAUUGUUGACACCGAGUUGAUAUGUGGCCAAUGAAAUUAGUCAGUAGGACAAUUAAGUGCAUCACACUGAUAAAUCCUGAACAAGAUGCUAAUCAUUACUAAGAACAACUAUAACAAGUGGUUUUACUUGGCAUCAUCCACUUAUCUACUUUGAUUUUUCAAUAGAUUUACCGAUGUCUGAUAAAUAAUCAAUUACUACAAUAGUACACACUUUCCAUAGUACUGAACUUUGAAAUUUGUAUUAUAGGUAUUGAAUUGGAAGACUGGUCGAUGCAGAGGAUAAACAGAAGGAAAGAGAAGCUCGAGAAUAACCGGAUGCACUAUAUCCAUUACUUCAAGAGACCCGAUAUAUCUUACGCAAAGCACAAUUAUCUAGCAGUUCAACAGAGCUUAAAUUUAGCGAGGAAUUUUGCUAAGUCGUCGAGACCGUAAAGACUGGAGGGCCCAGCCAGUGCAGUGCUGGGACCGAAAUACACGUCGAAUACACCGACGCUGCACGAAUUGUUUUUCUCGUUGUUGCUUUUUUACCUUGCUGUUUCGUUAAACCUUCUUGGUCUUGGUACAGUCUGGUAAAUAACUUGGCUUUCUUCAAAACAACUAAUGCGUUGGCAUAAAGCCAUGUAUACUGUUUUCUACCUAUGAACAUUCAACUAAUCCUCCCAUCAUAGCCCCUCAGAUAUUUUACCAAUGAAUUAAAUUGACAACGAGAGAAACAAAACAUCACACGUGUAGGACAAUUGAAAUUGUACCUGUAAAAUGUAUUUUUACAAAAUUCCUACCUGACAGGUAGAAACGAACGAUCUGUCGAGCAUCGAAACUUUUAUUAACAAGCCAGGCUGCGAUACUCUAAUGCAUUUAUGUCGUAAGAUCGCGUCUUAAGACAUCGCUCCCUUGCUCGAGCAUCGUGGUGGCCGUGAAAUCAGCCACGCCGACCAUUCUAAAAUCGUGCCAGAAUUUCUUGCCAAAUUUAAUUGGAACCUCGCUGUCUUCUCUGUCUUCUCUAUGUAACCCGCACCUGCAAUCUUUCGUCGCUUAUCAGCUGCUAAUUUAUCGCUUGAUAGCAGUCCUCCAAUGUAUCAGCGAACAAUUUCUGGAUAAACGUUCAUUGUGGAAUAUAUAGAUGGUAAAAAAUAUUCGACUUGUUAUCUCGCUGGGAGUAAAAUUUGUUCCAAUAAUAGAAAUCUUGGAGCUCUAGGAACAGUCGAAAAUAGAUGAUGUGCUUGAGACAUUGAUCGAUUACCAUUUUCAUCAAAAAUACCAUGAGAGUCUUGAACUUACAAGUUACAAGGAAAUUUCUUUUUCAAAGGACAAGCUAUUUCUUUUACAGGUUGGUUACACGUUCUGUUACGAAACGGAUUGUUAGCAAGUUGAAGAUACAAGAUGUUUCGAGAAUAAAAUUUAUUGAGUCUGAUGACUUUGUUAUCAGCAGACUUCAUUUUUUAAUUAUCAGUAAUAUUCCAUUUGAAAUAAAUGAUAAAGAAGUUAGGACUUUCUAAAUCUCUUGGUCUCGGCGAUUCAUCAAACAAGAUUCUUCAAAGGAUACACCUCAGGAUAGAUGGUUACCCUCGACAAGUGGUAUUAAAAAUUGAAGUUUGUUUGCGUAAGGUUUUAAGCUCGUUUAUAUUUCCUGAAUAUCUCUUCUAUACCAUUCAGUCUGAGUUUGCGGAGUCUCGGUCGCAUUCGAUCUUCAGCCUCAGGUGUUUAUGCAAAUUUAAUUGUCCGUGGCAAAACUUUUUGGUGAGCACCAAUCUCGUCAUCACGAUACACACCACGUGGUAAUAGCUCUAGGAAAACUAUGCAGUCUAUUUUCGAGCUUGAGGAUUCGCUGUUGUCGGGUGGAAUCGCGGGAUCUUCCUCUCUUUGCGUGUAAAGAAAGAGAAGAUGAAAGAUACCUUAAUCCUCUGAUGCUAUUUUAUAGGCUUAAAAUAGCUUGAAUAUUUUGACAUAACAGUUGGCAAACUCUGACUUUAAGUACAUAAUAUCCUAUCAUUUCAAUUUAUAAUAUGCUUGGAUUUCAUGUACAUAUAACAUAAAACAGGCAUUAAGAAUCGAAGAUAAUUUUAUAAGGUAUAAAUUGAAGUUUCUUGCGUGAGGAAGAUAAAUUUUAGCAGGGUCUGUAGGGCGGAUGAAACUCUCCCUCGGUGCAGAAUACAUUAUAUUGCUUUUAUUUCGCUUAUGCCAUGCGUACUAGCUGCAUUCUAUUUCUCUUGCUUCAGCUAAUUUCAUCGGUGCUUGGUGGAGGGAUCUUGCGAAUGUUUGUCGACGACUGUCUGGUGAUAUUUUGAGACAGUUGCCUGUUGACAAUAUUUAAUAGUCUGCAAUCUGUCAUGACAUUUUUAUGUAUAUAUAAAUUUGAUAUCAAUGCAUUAAUAAGUGUAAAGCACUGAUGGAAUGUUAAUAGAAUUUGAAUUUAAUUUGAGAUUUAAAGAUUGGAGAGAUUUCUAUAAUUGUUUUAACUUAUUUAUAUAAGAAAUUAUCAGUAAUUGUUAUUUUAUUGAAUUGCAAAUAAGAUAUGGGAUAGGCCACCCAUUGAAUUCCUUUACUCGAGAACUCAGAAGGUCCCUUAUCAACUUUGUAUCAAAUUCUACUAUAUCGAUUGGGACGGUAUUUCAUUAUAACGCUAUCAGUGAUAUUAGUCUGUGAUCUGAUUUCAAAAUCAUUUUUGUGGUGUCUGAAUGAAUCUGUAAAAUCUGUGUUAUACGCGAUCAUUAACAGAUGUCUCUACCCAUCGCGAUAAGCAGCUAGUGUUGAUAACAUAGAGCACUUCAUAUGAAAGUGCAGCUAACACAUAUUCCAGGAUGAACAUAUGAAACUUUUAUCUAUUUUGUUAAAACAGAAUAUUUUAGCAAAAAUCCAUCAUCAUGAGAGUGUUAUUAUUAUAUAAAGGAUCCUGAAGCCGAGGGUAUGCUAUUGCGAGUCUGUGAAAAUUCCAUGGAUAUCGUUCCCUCUUUCAAAUCGAGUUGACAAUUAAGUAUUUAGGGUGGCUGCGGGUCGCGUGUCAGAGGGAGUCAUCUUCGCCAGCAUGAUCAAAGCGAUCUUAGGGGAGAUUAGCCGUUCAUCGAUACUCGUAUGCCACAAUUCUAAGGAUAUAUGGGCGCAGUUUUGUAGUUCUUUCCCCGGAUCACAUAAAAUUCCGUGUAAUCAGAUCUAAAGACAUCCCACGUAACAUUCCCACCCGCAGUCAUGUUAUAUUAUUAUACGUAGACGAUCUUAUGCGGGAUGAUAGUCCGACGUUUUUACCUCUCACCCUCCUGUAUCAGAGGAUUCUAUGAGAAACUGAAUUUCUCGUUCUCACGAAACAUGGGGGUAGAGGUCCUCGACUAAUUGCCCAUCAAUGUGGAUCACAGUCUCUGUACGAAAAAUUUCUAUGGCAUAUUUGCUUUCAUUCGCGUGAGAAUCAGAGCUUCUCUCAGACUUUUCACGAAUGUUGCUUCUAUGGAGUUUUUAUAGAUUGAUAUUAGAGGAAAAAUAUGAAUAAAUCAAGGUAUCAUUAGAAGAAACACCCUGUACGCGAAUAGAGGACAUACACGAUGGCGACGGAUGUGACUACGUCGGGUUAAUAAGGAUGCGACGUCAUCGGGUUGCGACGUUACAUUUUCUUCUUUCAAUCACGAUCUCUGAAUCCAAGAUUAAACGCCAGUUUAAUUACCAUUGCCAUUAAGCACCAGCAUUUACUGCUGGAACCAAUACACCUGUUGCACCUCGACUGACGAUGAAAGAAACGUUCGCUACAAUUAAAGGAAUUCACCUUUUCUCAAAAGCAAAUCUCAGGUAGAAUCUACGCGUGGACUCGAAUUUUUGAAUGGACUGUGUGAUAUUGAAUAUUACAAAGGUUUCCGUGUCAAGUCGCGGGUGCAGAUCAGCUACCAGUAUAUUUCUCCUGAAAAUAUAUAACAUUAAAUCUUCAACGUCACCCAUCUUCCUACGCUUUGAUGCGUGAAAUGUACCAGCAUGAUAUAAAAUGACUAAUACCAAUGAUACACGUCAAGUCUCGCAUCGUGCAUCGACUGCUGGGAUAUUGCUGCCAUUUCUAUGGGGGUGAAAAGGAGAAAAAAAUGUUUAUUGCGAUAUCUCGAUCAAGAAUCUCAUGUGGGCACGUUAAUUCGUAGACCUUACUGUAAUAAUUGCUUACGAUGGAACACGAAUUUCCCUCAAACUAACAAUUAGCCAUCUUACAUGAAAAAAUUAAUGGAAAACUUACGCAGUAAUUUUCAUGAAACUUUCAGCUUUAAAUUUUAAUUUUAAUUUUAAAGACAGAUGCUCGGACUGUACCCGGAGGAAGUCCUGAGAAUGCGUUCACCGGCGAUAUCUGCGCGAACAGAGAAACGCUCAAUUGGUCGGUCCUGGUAGUGUUCACUGGGGCCACCACGGCAAUACUAUCCGGUCGGCGCAUACCUACGACGUAAAAAAAGCGGCUCGCGUGCAAAAAGAUAGAUACCCUGAACGUCCUGUCCAAUCUAAAUAUACAUACAUAUAUACGUAUAAUACAUCUGAACGAGCCGUUGUAUCGAGCCUUUUGUCUGUCAGCUGCAAUUUUUUCUUCUGGACCAAAC